rnacentral:rRNA from 1 species
GAUGAACGCUGGCGGCGUGCCUAAUAUAUGCAAGUCGAGCGAACAGACGAGGAGCUUGCUCCUCUGACGUUAGCGGCGGACGGGUGAGUAACACGUGGAUAACCUACCUAUAAGACUGGGAUAACUUCGGGAAACCGGAGCUAAUACCGGAUAACAUGUUGAACCGCAUGGUUCAACAGUGAAAGACGGUCUUGCUGUCACUUAUAGAUGGAUCCGCGCCGCAUUAGCUAGUUGGUAAGGUAACGGCUUACCAAGGCAACGAUGCGUAGCCGACCUGAGAGGGUGAUCGGCCACACUGGAACUGAGACACGGUCCAGACUCCUACGGGAGGCAGCAGUAGGGAAUCUUCCGCAAUGGGCGAAAGCCUGACGGAGCAACGCCGCGUGAGUGAUGAAGGUCUUCGGAUCGUAAAACUCUGUUAUUAGGGAAGAACAAAUGUGUAAGUAACUAUGCACGUCUUGACGGUACCUAAUCAGAAAGCCACGGCUAACUACGUG